AUACGGAGGAUGCAAGCGUUAUCCGGAUUUAUUGGGUUUAAAGGGUGCGUAGGCGGGACUGUAAGUCAGGGGUGAAAUACUGCAGCUUAACUGUAGCAUUGCCUUUGAAACUGCCGUUCUUGAGUACAGUUGAGGUAGGCGGAAUGUGGUGUGUAGCGGUGAAAUGCAUAGAUAUACCACAGAACGCCGAUUGCGAAGGCAGCUUACUAAGCUGUUACUGACGCUGAGGCACGAAAGCGUGGGGAUCAAACAGGAUUAGAUACCCUGGUAGUCCACGCUGUAAACGAUGAUUACUGGUUGUUAGCGAUAUAUAGCUAGUGACUGAGCGAAAGCAUUAAGUAAUCCACCUGGGGAGUAUGUCGGCAACGAUGAAACUCAAAUGAAUUGACGGGG
rnacentral:rRNA from 1 species